AUUGAACGCUGGCGGCAUGCCUAACACAUGCAAGUCGAGCGAGCGGCGGACGGGUGAGUAAUGUAUGGGAAUCUGCCUGAUGGCGGGGGAUAAUUACUGGAAACGGUAGCUAAUCCCGCUUACCAUAAGAUUAAACCUUAUUGGAUUAGCUUGUAGGUAAGGUAACGGCUUACCUAGGCGACGAUCCCUAGCUGGUCUGAGAGGAUGAUCAGCCAAACUGGGACUGAGACACGGCCCAGACUCCUACGGGAGGCAGCAGUGGGGAAUAUUGCACAAUGGGCGCAAGCCUGAUGCAGCCAUGCCGCGUGUAUGAAGAAGGCCUUCGGGUUGUAAAGUACUUUCAGUCGGGAGGCGUUACCGACAGAAGAAGCACCGGCUAACUCCGUGCCAGCAGCCGCGGUAAUUC
rnacentral:rRNA from 1 species